rnacentral:rRNA from 1 species
AUUGAACGCUGGCGGCAGGCUUAACACAUGCAAGUCGAGCGAGCGGCGGACGGGUGAGUAAUGUAUGGGGAUCUGCCUGAUAGAGGGGGAUAACUACUGGAAACGGUGGCUCAUACCGCAUACUAUCGGAUGUACCCAGAUGGGAUUAGCUAGUAGGUGGGGUAAUGGCUCACCUAGGCGACGAUCCCUAGCUGGUCUGAGAGGAUGCUCAGCCACACUGGAACUGAGACACGGCCCAGACUCCUACGGGAGGCAGCAGUGGGGAAUAUUGCACAUUGGGCGCAAGCCUGAUGCAGCCAUGCCGCGUGUGUGAAGAAGGCCUUAGGGUUGUAAAGCACUUUCAGCGAGGAGGCGUUACCCGCAGAAGAAGCACCGGCUAACUCCGUGCCAGCAGCCGCGGUAAUAC